rnacentral:misc_RNA from 1 species
AACGCACAUUGCGCCCUCUGGUAUUCCGGAGGGCAUGCCUGUUUGAGUGUCAUUAAUCUCUCACAGAUCCAAUUGGUUUCAAACUGGUUGGUGUCUGUUGAAGUUGGGACGUGCGAUCUUCUUCGGAAAUCGCUCUCCUCAAAUGUAUUGGUGCGGCCCGCCGCCCGGUUACACAACGUUCUAGGUUCGUCCAACUCGUUGCUUUCCGGUGCAAUCUGGUGCAGCACCUAAAGCCCGCCUCGUGCCUCGUGCUCUUGGCUAUUUCAUUUAUUGACCUCAGAUCAGGUAGGAAUACGCGCUGAACUUAA